AAAACGGCCCUUUUUAGGGCCACUACAAAAUGAUUAACUGCCUUAGU
rfam:Trichobilharzia regenti genome assembly, scaffold: TRE_scaffold0119660